UGGUUCCUACGGGGGGCAGCAGUAGGGAAUAUUGCUCAAUGGGGGAAACCCUGAAGCGGCAACGCCGCGUGGAGGAUGAAGGUUUUCGGAUUGUAAACUCCUUUUGUUAGAGAAGAUAAUGACGGUAUCUAACGAAUAAGCACCGGCUAACUCCGUGCCAGCAGCCGCGGUAAUACGGAGGGUGCAAGCGUUACUCGGAAUCUCUGGGCGUAAAGAGCGCGCAGGCGGGAUAGCAAGU
rnacentral:rRNA from 1 species